rnacentral:rRNA from 1 species
CGUGUAGGCGGUCCGGUGAGUCAGAUGUGAAAGCCCUGGGCUCAACCCAGGAAGUGCAUUUGAAACUACCAGACUUGAGUACGGGAGAGGAGGGGGGAAUUCCCGGUGUAGAGGUGAAAUUCGUAGAUAUCGGGAGGAAUACCAGUGGCGAAGGCGCCCCUCUGGACCGAUACUGACGCUGAGACGCGAAAGCGUGGGGAGCAAACA